rnacentral:rRNA from 1 species
UACGGAGGGGACUAGCGUUGUUCGGAAUUACUGGGCGUAAAGCGCACGUAGGCGGAUUUGUAAGUCAGGGGUGAAAUCCCGGGGCUCAACCUCGGAACUGCCUUUGAUACUGAGGAGCUUGAGUCCGGGAGAGGUGAGUGGAACUGCGAGUGUAGAGGUGAAAUUCGUAGAUAUUCGCAAGAACACCAGUGGCGAAGGCGGCUCACUGGCCCGGUACUGACGCUGAGGCGCGAAAGCUAGGGGAGCAAACGGG